rnacentral:rRNA from 1 species
UACGUAGGCAGCAAGCGUUGUCCGGAAUCAUUGGGCGUAAAGAGCGUGUAGGCGGCCAGAUAAGUCCGCUGUGAAAUCUCGAGGCUCAACUUCGAGCUGUCGGUGGAAACUGUCUGGCUAGAGUCCGGAAGAGGAGAAUGGAAUUCCUGGUGUAGCGGUGAAAUGCGCAGAUAUCAGGAAGAACACCCGUGGCGAAGGCGGUUCUCUGGGACGGUACUGACGCUGAGACGCGAAAGCGUGGGGAGCGAACAGG